rnacentral:rRNA from 1 species
UACGAAGGGGGCUAGCGUUGCUCGGAAUCACUGGGCGUAAAGCGCACGUAGGCGGCUUUUUAAGUCAGGGGUGAAAUCCUGGAGCUCAACUCCAGAACUGCCUUUGAUACUGAGAAGCUUGAGUCCGGGAGAGGUGAGUGGAACUGCGAGUGUAGAGGUGAAAUUCGUAGAUAUUCGCAAGAACACCAGUGGCGAAGGCGGCUCACUGGCCCGGUACUGACGCUGAGACGCGAAAGCGUGGGGAGCAAACAAGG